GACGAACGCUGGCGGCGUGCUUAACACAUGCAAGUCGAGCGACUGCAUUCUUUUCGGAGGGUGUAUGGAGCGGCGAACGGGUGAGUAACACGUGAGUAAUCUGCCUUUGGCUUGGGAAUAACUUCGGGAAAUCGGGGCUAAUGCCUGAUGUUUACCGUCUGCUGCAUGGUGGGUGGUGGAAAGAUUUUUUGGCCAGGGAUGAGCUCGCGGUCUAUCAGCGUUGNGGUGGGGUAAUGGCUUACCAAGGCUUUGACGGGUAGCCGGCCUGAGAGGGUGUUCGGCCACACUGGGACUGAGACACGGCCCAGACUCCUACGGGAGGCAAGGCAGGUGGGGAAUAUUGCGCAAUGGGCGUAAGCCUGACGCAGCGACGCCGCGUGGGGAUGAAGGCCUGGUGUAA
rnacentral:rRNA from 1 species